AAUAGGGUGCCUGAUUAAAAGGGAUACCUUGAUAGGGUAUAUAAUGCAACUUUUGCCCCUAUUA
rnacentral:tRNA from 1 species